CGUAGGUGCGAGCGUUGUCCGGAUUAUUGGGCGUAAAGAGCUUGUAGGCGGCUUGUCGCGUCUGCUGUGAAAUCCCGGGGCUCAACCUCGGGCUUGCAGUGGGUACGGGCAGGCUAGAGUAUGGUAGGGGAGACUGGAAUUCCUGGUGUAGCGGUGGAAUGCGCAGAUAUCAGGAGGAACACCGAUGGCGAAGGCAGGUCUCUGGGCCAUCACUGACGCUGAGAAGCGAAAGCGUGGGGAGCGAACAGGAUU
rnacentral:rRNA from 1 species